AACGAACGCUGGCGGCAUGCCUAACACAUGCAAGUCGAACGAGACCUUCGGGUCUAGUGGCGCACGGGUGCGUAACGCGUGGGAACCUGCCCUUAGGUUCGGAAUAACUCCCCGAAAGGGGUGCUAAUACCGGAUAAUGUCUUCGGACCAAAGAUUUAUCGCCUUUGGAUGGGCCCGCGUUGGAUUAGCUAAUUGGUAGGGUAAAAGCCUACCAAGGCGACGAUCCAUAGCUGGUCUGAGAGGAUGAUCAGCAACACUGGGACUGAGACACGGCCCAGACUCCUACGGGAGGCAGAAGUGGGGAAUAUUGGACAAUGGGCGAAAGCCUGAUCCAGCAAUGGCGAGUGAGUGAUGAAGGCAUUAGGGUUGUAAAGCUCUUUUACCCGGGAUGAUAAUGACAGUACCGGGAGAAUAAGCUCCGGCUAACUCCGUG
rnacentral:rRNA from 1 species